UCUGAUUUCCAUUUUAUUUUCUUCUUUUCCAAAUUCAAGUUCCCAUUCCAAUUUAAAUUCAAACUUGUGGCAAAUUUAUCCUCCAAUUAUAGUGUGAAAUUAAAAGUCCAGCAUGAUGCACCUUUUAUCGAGAUAUAAUUUAUUUUAAACAUGUAUCCUAAUAAUUCUUUAUGAAUGAGAAGGCAUUACACAAAAAAAUUUUCCUCUCUCUUAUAUUACAAAGUUGGGUAUUACAACCGUCUUUGAACGCGGCCUGCUUCUAUUUAGUGUGGAUUGAUAGGUAUUUGUCCAUCAUCCCAUGUGGGUUUUUGUUUCUAAAUCCCACCUCUGGAUGAGGUCCGUCGAGGGGUCAUAUGUUGGCUCAUCAUGGCUGGAGCAAUGGUCCCCUCCCUCCUUGGCCUCUUGGGGGUCAUUGUCACACACGGUUCCAGG
rnacentral:lncRNA from 7 species